rnacentral:rRNA from 1 species
AGUGAACGCUGGCGGUAGGCCUAACACAUGCAAGUCGAACGGCAGCACAGUAAGAGCUUGCUCUUACGGGUGGCGAGUGGCGGACGGGUGAGGAAUACAUCGGAAUCUACUUUUUCGUGGGGGACAACGUAGGGAAACUUACGCUAAUACCGCAUACGACCUACGGGUGAAAGCAGGGGAUCUUCGGACCUUGCGCGAUUGAAUGAGCCGAUGUCGGAUUAGCUAGUUGGCGGGGUAAAGGCCCACCAAGGCGACGAACCGUAGCUGGUCUGAGAGGAUGAUCAGCCACACUGGAAAUUGAGCACGGUCCAAACUCCUACGGGGGGCAGCAGGGGGGAAUAUUGGACAAUGGGGGCAAGCCGGAGCCGGCCAUACCGGGUGGGUGAAGAAGGCCUUCGGGUUGUAAAACCCUUUUGUUGGGAAAGAAAAGCAGCAGGUUAAUACCCCGCUGUUCUGACGGUACCCAAAGAAUAAGCCCCGGCUAACUUCGUG